UGGGGAUAAUGCACCCGCUGAGGACGG
rnacentral:piRNA from 1 species